UGGUAUGGUGGUAGCUCAUUGGUUGAACCUUUUAUGGUAUGUGGCUGUUGGGUGCAGAGAACGAAAAGCUCAUUCCACUAGGAGGUUGAAACUGGUGGAGCACAAAACCAUUGCACCAGGGGAGACAAGCUAAAACAACCCUCUGCAAAAACCGCUUGAUACGCAUAACACGAAUUCUUAUCGUACGCUUGCUGAUUUUUAACGUACGCCCACAACUGAGCAAAGUUUGCCACCUGAAAAAUCUGGAGGACCCCUAACUGGAACUGAAGCUACUCUUGCCUUGCCGUACUCAGCUGACUCAAUUGAGAGAGAGAGAGAGAGAGAGAGAGAGAGAGAGAUGGUGGGAUAGGCUCUUUCUUCUUUUGACCAAAAGCUUGCACUAUAGUACUCACGUAUUCACGUAGGAAAAGAAGCAUAUAUAUCCAAGAACGCAAGUUGGUGCUGGCUAAUGGAAAUUUAUGGCAGGAAUCAGCUAGAGGAAAUUUUCUUUUUUGUUUUUAAUGGUAAGCAUGUCAAAGCUUAUCUCGUGGUGCUUUAUUUUCCUUCAUAGUUAGAGAUAGUACAUAUGUGAUGUCUGAAUAACUAUACCUUACAAGUGGAAGGUGGGGUUCA